AGGCUCUCACAUUUUACAACUUGACAUUAAACUUUUCCCUAUGGCUUCCGGGUGUAGCGGUAAUAAAAAUAACUGAGGGCUUGCUUUCAUCCGAACUACCCCAGCGUACUUAAGUCGGCAAUGAGAUGGCAGAUGUGCGAAACAUGUUUCCGCAGAACCAACUCAAAUGGGUGAGCCUAAGGUAAAGACGUACUCAAGAAGUUUUUCGUUCAGUUUCUUUCUGAAUUCAGAAACUUAGGCGGUUGCGGGGCGCGGUUCCGCUGAUGGUGCGGACGGUCCCCGAUGUUUGGCAAACCUUUAUAAGCCUUGCAAUGCAGGUUGCAGACAUCAUUAUAAAUCGAGUCCAAAAAUUAUUCUGCCAGUCCUUCUGACAGGACGCCAACUUUAUAAAGGGGUGAUUCCGCGCUCCUAGUCGCUCCUCUCAAACAGAGUCUCCUAUCACCAAGAAGGUUGCCGACCCGAAGCGCUACCUUAAUGACAUUGUAUAUUGUUUACUUAAAUUAGUACGCCAUGGCUACGUAGGUGAAUCAAGGAUGCCGAGGCGCGCGCAUGGAACAUAUGAUUACAGUUGCCAUCGAAGCCGCCAUCGCAGGUAUCGCCGGAGAGCAUUAUGCUGCUCUAGGAACAGCAUUACGC
rnacentral:lncRNA from 1 species